rnacentral:rRNA from 1 species
AUGAGUUUCUCGAGUGCUGCGCUAUGGUGGGAGGAGUGGCAGCUGCGCGUCCUCGUCAUCGGCAGCCUCUUCAUCCAGUUCCUCCUCUACUUCUCUGACAUGGUGCGUAGAUCUCCUACCCUGGGCAAGUUCAGGAUGUUUGUUUGGGUCGCAUACAUAGGAGGCGAUGCUGUGGCGAUCUACGCCCUCGCCACCCUCUUCAACCGCUACAAGCAGCAGACAGUGGGUGGAGAGAGCAGCGCCUUGGAGGUCGUAUGGGCGCCUGUCCUCCUCAUCCACCUUGGCGGGCAGCCGUGGAUAACCGCCUACAGCCUUGAAGACAACGAGAUGUGGAAGAGGCAUGCCAUGACCUUGGUGUCUCAGGUCACGGCCGCCUUG